GAUGAACGCUGGCGGCGUGCUUAACACAUGCAAGUCGAACGGUGAACGAGGGAGCUUGCUCCCUCCGGAUCAGUGGCGAACGGGUGAGUAACACGUGAGCAAUCUGCCCCGAACUCUGGGAUAAGCGCUGGAAACGGCGUCUAAUACCGGAUACGACGCGCGAAGGCAUCUUCUGCGCGUGGAAAGAAUUUCGGUUCGGGAUGAGCUCGCGGCCUAUCAGCGAGUUGGUGAGGUAACGGCUCACCAAGGCGACGACGGGUAGCCGGCCUGAGAGGGUGACCGGCCACACAGGGACUGAGACACGGCCCAGACUCCUACGGGAGGCAGCAGUGGGGAAUAUUGCACAAUGGGCGCAAGCCUGAUGCAGCAACGCCGCGUGAGGGACGACGGCCUUCGGGUUGUAAACCUCUUUUAGUAGGGAAGAAGCGAAAGUGACGGUACCUGCAGAAAAAGCACCGGCUAACUACGUGCCAGCCGCCGCUGUAACAC
rnacentral:rRNA from 1 species